rnacentral:rRNA from 1 species
CCUACGGGGAGCAGCAGUGAGGAAUAUUGGUCAAUGGGCGCGAGCCUGAACCAGCCAAGUCGCGUGAGGGAGGACGGCCCUACGGGUUGUAAACCUCUUUUGCCGGGGAGCAACGGGCGCCACGUGUGGCGUCACUGAGAGUACCCGGAGAAAAAGCAUCGGCUAACUCCGUGCCAGCAGCCGCGGUAAUACGGAGGAUUCGAGCGUUAGCCGGAUUUAGUGGGUUUGAAGGGUUCGUAGGCGGAUCGUUACGUCAGUGGUCAAAUUGAGGGGCUCAACCCCUUCCCGCCAUUGAAACUGGCGUUCUUGAGUGGAAGAGAAGUAUGCGGAAUGCGUGGUGUAGCGGUGAAAUGCAUAGAUAUCACGCAGAACCCCGAUUGCGAAGGCAGCAUGCCGGCUUCCGACUGACGCUGAAGCACGAAAGCGUGGGGAUCGAACAGGAUUAGAUACCCGUGUUGUC